GUUGGUCUCUUGCAGCUUUCGGGCACGGUCCUCCAGGCGCUGUGCGAGGCCUGCCAGCUCCGCGUGCUUCAUCUUGAGCCGUUUCACCUUCUCGUCCUCGCGUGGGCCGCCACCGCGCCGCAGCUGCAGGUUAUCUUCGCGCAGUUCCGAGCAGCAGCGUGCCAGCCUCUGCAACGCUUCGCUCAGCUCCGAGUUCCGCUUCACCAGUGCACAGUAGUUGCGGCCCAGCGGUGAGGGCGUCAGACCUUCUGGGGGCUGGUUUCCACAGCCUUCUCCUCCGCGCGGGUCUUUUGGUUUUCUGUGUGACCUAGGCGGCGAGGAAUUUGGGGAGCCCGCGACAAAGGUGUCUGUCGAGGAUGCUGGCGCCUCAGACUCGGAGGCCUUGGGGCAACUCAGCGUGCUGUAGAGCGAGCAGCAAGAAGCCUUCGCCAAGAAAUCCAGGGAGCUGGCGCGCGCGGGGAGCCUGCCAUCAGGGGAGCCGGAGCGCGCCUCCGGGAACCUCUCCAAAGAGCGGGAGCGAACGCGGACCGCGGCGGAGGCCCCAAGUCGAGGGGGGGGGGCUUUAGGGUGCGGCGAGCACUUUUGGCAGUUUCGAGGAGUGGCUCUUCCGAGGAAUUAUCGGCCUGGGGGUCGGGAGGCCCUGGUAAAGGGGGCUGCCAGCGAAAGUGCUCCAGUAUGUGUUUGAGGAACAGCUGGCGCUCCACGUCGAGCGCCGCCUGCAGGUGGCGGAUGCGCGCGGCCUGCUCGCCGUCAGUCUCCCAGCGAAGCUGCCGCAGCACUUCUUGCAGGCGACAGCGGCACUGCUCGGCGGGGACCUCGGGCGUCCCGCUGCAGCUGCAGUAGCCGCGGUUCACCAGCUCCUGGGCCAGCUGGCGCUGCAGAUCGCGGGCCUGGCGCACCACGCCGUCGCGCUCACGGCCCAGCAGCUGCUGUAGCUGCCGCAGCUCGGCCUCCUUCCAGCGCAGCAGCUGCCGGAUCUCGGCCUCGCGCUCCCGCUGCACCUCCGCCUGCAGCUGCCGCAGCUCCCGAAAGCGCUGUGCCUCCCAUUUGGAGUGCAGGUGGUCCGCCAGCUGCUGCCGCUCCCGCUCUGCCGCCUCCCGCACCCGGCGUGCCUCGGCCGUGAAGCGCCGCCGCUCGGCUCGCCCGCGCGCGCGCUCCUCCUCCAGCUCGACCCGAAGCUUCUCCAGCUCUCGCCUCUGCUCCUCCAGGACUGCUGCCGCCUGGCCGGGGCUUCCUAGCCUUUUGGGCCGCAGCUCGCCAACGGCUGCCGCCCCGGCCGAGGCCAACCGCCCCGCGCGCCCCUUCCGGCGCCCCCUGGCUGUCUCCUCGAGCCCCUUCCUCCUCGGGGCACUUCGUACCUGCUAUCGGACUGGACGCUCCAGAAAGGCCAGGUCUCUGCCUGUCUGGUUCAUCCAGAUUCACCCACGCCUCCCCAGCACUGUGACCAGCACAAAGUAAGGGCUCAGCUCAGGUAGGCGCCCCGCCCCC
rnacentral:lncRNA from 1 species